rnacentral:tRNA from 1 species
GGGGAUUUAGCUCAGUGGCAGAGCUUUUGCCUAGCAAACACAAGGCCCUGAGUUCGGUCCUCAGCUCCA